GACAGAGGGUGCAAGCGUUGCUCGGAAUCACUGGGCGUAAAGGGUGCGUAGGCGGCCGUGCAAGUCUGGCGUGAAAGCCCCGGGCUCAGCCCGGGAAGUGCGCUCGAAACUGCGCGGCUCGAGUGCCGGAGGGGAGAGUGGAAUUCCUGGUGUAGCGGUGAAAUGCGUAGAUAUCUGGAGGAACACCGGUGGCGAAGGCGGCAUCCUGGACCAACACUGACGCUGAGUGAGCGAAAGCCAGGGGAGCAAACGGG
rnacentral:rRNA from 1 species